rnacentral:rRNA from 3 species
AAUCAAGUGCCUUAAGGGUGUUCGGUGGAUGCCUUGGCGCUGAGAGGCGAUGAAGGACGUGCUACGCUGCGAUAAGCCGUGGGGAGCUGCGAAGAAGCUUUGAUCCAUGGAUUUCCGAAUGGGGAAACCCACCUUCGAUAGCCGGAACUCCAAGACCUUUGUCGAAAGACAUCGGUGUGGGGUUCGAACAGAAAUGUGAGAUGCCUAGACCUUUAGAUUUCGAUCGAAGAGGUUUUGGAUUUCCGGUUAUCAAGAGAAGGUAUGAGACUUCUGAAUACAUAGGAGGUUUCAAGCAAACCCAGGGAACUGAAACAUCUAAGUACCUGGAGGAAAGGACAUCAACAGAGACUCCGUUAGUAGUGGCGAGCGAACGCGGACCAGGCC